GGGGAUGUGGCUUAGUGGUAGAGCUCUUGCCUAGCAUGUGCAAGACCCUGGGUUUGAUCCCCAGCACUGCCA
rnacentral:tRNA from 1 species